AGGCUUGAUACAUCAAACAAAGUUCAAUGGAGUUAUUCUUGUCUCGCACCAAUGGAAUUAAAUAUCUCAAGUAUGUCAAAUUUGAGUGGGAAUUAUGAACCAGUUCCAAAAUUAUUGGAGGCCAACUCAUAUAAACAAACGCGAAUAUGAGUCUUAUUUUCCUACAAAAGCAAAAGGGCAGGCCUUUUGCUUCUUCAAGGGUCUGAUCUUCACAGUCAGCUCCUCCAAGUGGUCUUACUGGCUGUGAGAGGUGACCCCGGCAGUCAAGGAAGCCUGAAGAUCCUUCCUAAAAAGAUGGAUUCUGCAAUCUAUGCCUCUAGGUACUAAAUCAACUUCUGACAAGUAAAGAACAAUGCAGUCCCAGGGUUUUACAAUAAAUGUUUGCUGCCAAACCACAAUAAAUGCUUUUGUCUGGAACUCAUGGAGCAGUAACAUAGCAUUGGAGGGUGUACCCUUGUCUGUUAUUCCCUCUGAGCAAAUUCUCAGAGACGUGUUACCAGGGUUCGGAUAGAUUUCAUGGAACUGGUAGAG